rnacentral:rRNA from 1 species
GACGAACGCUGGCGGCGUGCUUAACACAUGCAAGUCGAACGGAAAGGCCCUGCUUUUGUGGGGUGCUCGAGUGGCGAACGGGUGAGUAACACGUGAGUAACCUGCCCUUGACUUUGGGAUAACUUCAGGAAACUGGGGCUAAUACCGGAUAGGAGCUCCUGCUGCAUGGUGGGGGUUGGAAAGUUUCGGCGGUUGGGGAUGGACUCGCGGCUUAUCAGCUUGUUGGUGGGGUAGUGGCUUACCAAGGCUUUGACGGGUAGCCGGCCUGAGAGGGUGACCGGCGACAUUGGGACUGAGAUACGGCACAGACUCCUACGGGAGGCAGCAGUGGGGAAUAGUGCACAAUGGGCGGAAGCCUGAUGCAGCAACGCCGCGUGCGGGAUGACGGCCUUCGGGUUGUAAACCGCUUUCGCCUGUGACGAAGCGUGAGUGACGGUAAUGGGUAAAGAAGCACCGGCUAACUACGUG